UCCAACAGAAAAGUGAUCCAUGUACCGAUCUUAAAUGGAUGGAUCACUAUCCUCUAUGACGAUCCUACGAUCGAAAAUAUUUAAAAAUUAACCACUAAUGAUGUAUGUCUCAAAUUCUUAACAUCUUAAGAAUAUAUAAAAUUAUUUUUAUUAAUUUUUAGGAUAAAUCAUGGACACAUACAAUAUGAUUGGUUAUAAAGACGAUCCGUCAAG
rnacentral:lncRNA from 1 species